CUGACACUGGAGACUCCUUCCAUAAAUGUUACAUAAACCUCUCCUUACCCUGGACAAAACUUCACUGUAUCAACGAUACAAGUCCAUACACGUACCUGUGACUGAGCUUACCAUACUCGUUAUUAUAGAUAAGAUAAUGUAUUACAACAAGUGCAUCAAUAUAUAUGAGUGAUUUGCAGCUGCAAUACUGUGAGAGCUGCUGUUAUACAAAAUUAACACUUUCUGACCAAUCAGAAUCGAGAACAGCACUGUGGUGUAAUUUGAAAUUAUAUUUAUCAGAACAGGCUAACUAGCAUCAUGCUAAAGUCUAAACUGUCUUAAGUAAAGCAGUUAUUUCUUAUAAAGUGUUUUUAAAGUGCGAAUUAUGAUACUAUCUCCCUAAACACUCAGACAUUUUUACAAAAAUGAACAAACUUCGAAUUAAUGAAUUAUUUUUCACUGUCAUUAAUUAACAACAAUUCACUACUAUUCAAUAUUAAUAUUCAAAUGAUUCUUCUGUGGUCAUGACAUAAUCUGUUUAAAGAGAGUGAUAAAAUAAAGACCAACAGUCAGCGCCCUCUCUCACCAGAGUUCUAAUCGGCACCACCUGUCUCCAGUCACCACACUCAUCAGGACUCCAUGUAUGCACACACCUCACCUCACCUCACUUUUGUCUGGCCUCAACUAGGAAUAGACCUCUUCUCUGUGAGUACCUGUGUUCAUCUGAAGUGCUUCUACGGCUCCCUAUGUUUUCUCCAGUGUUUCUCUUCCAAGACACAUGAGUAAUAAUCGUCACAACAGUAUCCACCGUAGUGACAGGAGCUGGUGCAGGAACAGAUACCACCAUCAUAACCACAACGAUCCCUGCAGAAAUUGACUUACAUGUUGUGAAUCCGGAGCUGUGCCCCAGAAGAGUAGAGCUGAGUAAAAAUAUCACGAAUCCAAUCUCCAUCUUGU